AUUGAGCGCUGGCGGCUGGCCUAACACAUGCAAGUCGAACGGCAGCACAGAAGAGCUUGCUCUUUGGGUGGCGAGUGGCGGACGGGUGAGUAAUGUCUGGGAAACUGCCCGAUGGAGGGGGAUAACUACUGGAAACGGUAGCUAAUACCGCAUAACGUCGCAAGACCAAAGUGGGGGACCUUCGGGCCUCACACCAUCGGAUGUGCCCAGAUGGGAUUAGCUAGUAGGUGGGGUAAUGGCUCACCUAGGCGACGAUCCCUAGCUGGUCUGAGAGGAGGACCAGCCACACUGGAACUGAGGAACGGUCCAGACUCCUACGGGAGGCAGCAGUGGGGAAUAUUGCACAAUGGGCGCAGGCCUGAUGCAGCCAUGCCGCGUGUAUGAAGAAGGCCUUCGGGUUGUAAAGUACUUUCAGCGGGGAGGAAGGCGGUGAGGUUAAUAACCUUGCCGAUUGACGUUACCCGCAGAAGAAGCACCGGCUAACUCCGUGCCAGCCGCCGCAGUAA
rnacentral:rRNA from 1 species